rnacentral:rRNA from 1 species
GUGGGGAAUAUUGGACAAUGGGCGAAAGCCUGAUCCAGCCAUGCCGCGUGUGUGAAGAAGGCCUUUUGGUUGUAAAGCACUUUAAGCGAGGAGGAGGCUACCGAGAUUAAUACUCUUGGAUAGUGGAGGUUACUCGCAGAAUAAGCACCGGCUAACUCUGUGCCAGCAGCCGCGGUAAUACAGAGGGUGCGAGCGUUAAUCGGAUUUACUGGGCGUAAAGCGUGCGUAGGCGGCUUUUUAAGUCGGAUGUGAAAUCCCUGAGCUUAACUUAGGAAUUGCAUUCGAUACUGGGAAGCUAGAGUAUGGGAGAGGAUGGUAGAAUUCCAGGUGUAGCGGUGAAAUGCGUAGAGAUCUGGAGGAAUACCGAUGGCGAAGGCAGCCAUCUGGCCUAAUACUGACGCUGAGGUACGAAAGCAUGGGGAGCAAACAGGAUUAGAUACCCGAGUAGUCC